rnacentral:rRNA from 1 species
GACGAACGCUGGCGGCGUGCUUAACACAUGCAAGUCGAACGGAAAGGCCCUGCUUUUGUGGGGUGCUCGAGUGGCGAACGGGUGAGUAACACGUGAGUAACCUGCCCUUGACUUUGGGAUAACUUCAGGAAACUGGGGCUAAUACCGGAUAGGAGCUCCUGCUGCAUGGUGGGGGUUGGAAAGUUUCGGCGGUUGGGGAUGGACUCGCGGCUUAUCAGCUUGUUGGUGGGGUAGUGGCUUACCAAGGCUUUGACGGGUAGCCGGCCUGAGAGGGUGACCGGCCACAAUGGGACUGAGAUACGGCCCAGACUCCUACGGGAGGCAGAAGUGGGGAAUAUUGCACAAUGGGCGGAAGCCUGAGGCAGCAACGCCGCGUGCGGGAUGACGGCCUUCGGGUGGUAAACCGCUUUCGCCUGUGACGAAGCGUGAGUGACGGUAAUGGGUAAAGAAGCACCGGCUAACUACGUG